UAUCUCUGUAGAGUCUGCAUAUCAAUAAGCGGAGGAAAAGAAACUAACAAGGAUUCCCUUAGUAACGGCGAGUGAAGCGGGAAGAGCUCAAAUUUGAAAUCUUCAAGGUUCUGACCUUGACGAAUUGUAGUUUAAAGAAGUGUUUUCGGUUAGAGGAGUAGCUAAAAGUUCUUCGGAAUAGGACAUCAUAGAGGGUGAGAAUCCCGUAUUUGACUAUUCUUUCUAGCUUUGUGAUACGCUUUCAAAGAGUCGGAUUGUUUGGGAGUGCAGUCCAAAAUGGGUGGUAAAUUUCAUCUAAAGCUAAAUAUUGGCGAGAGACCGAUAGCGAACAAGUACCGUGAGGGAAAGAUGAAAAGAACUUUGAAAAGAGAGUUAAACAGUACGUGAAAUUGUCAAAAGGGAAGCGUUUGACACCAGUGUUGUUUUUCCGAAAAUCAAUUAAAAAUUGAUUCAUGCCAGGUUGUAUUGACCUUAUCAGCUUGCAAUUUGGUUUUGGGUCUCUUUUUGAUGCACUUUUCGGUUAACAAGUCAACAUCAAUUUCCUUUGCUGUAAAAAGGUAAGAGGAAGGUGGCUUCAAUUUCGGUUGAAGUGUUUAUAGCCUUUUAUCUCUGCAGUCGGGGAGAUUGAGGUCUGCAGCGUAGAUCCUUCGGGGCUAGAUACAUUUAUGCUAAGUUAUAGCCUUUCAUAGACAACUUGUUGACUAUGUUUAGUCAUGUAGCUUACUCGUAAGUGCUAUUUUACCUACGCUUAGGAUGUUGAAGACUCUACAGAGAUA
rnacentral:rRNA from 1 species